rnacentral:lncRNA from 1 species
AUGGAAGACAGGAUAAGUAAACGUGGGCCACAGAAGCCACACUGUUUGUUCAUUUCCCCUCUAGGAGAUUUUGACUUCAACAACCUGAGCAAUCCUGAGGCUUCUGGACAGUUGGUUUCAGAAUCCCCACUAUGCUUCCGGACGAUUCUAGGGCAAAGGGGCUCAGGCUUCUUCUGCUGCUGCUGCUUCUGCUGCUUCUGCUUCUCCUUCUCCUUCUUCCUUCUUCCUUCGUCGUUCUUCCUUCUUCUUCUUCUUGACAGAAUCUCUCUCUUGUUGCCCAGGCUGGAGUGCAAUGGCGCAAUUUCAGUUCACUCCCAGGGUUUCAAGCGAUUCUCCUGCCUCAGCCUCCCAAGUAGCUGGGAUUACAGGCAUGUGCCACCACGCCCAGCUAAUUUUUAAAAUUUUAUUAUUUUUGUAUUUUUAGUAGAGAUGAGACAUGGUUUUGCCAUGUUGGCCAGAUUGGUUUCAAAUUUCUGGCCUCAAGUGAUCCAACCACCUUGACCUCCCAAAGUCCUGUAAUUGCAGGCAUGAGCCACUGCACCUGGCCCAUGGUCUUCUUUUCUUAUGAUGUCUUUAGCUUUGGUAUCAGGGUAAUACUGGCUUAAUAAAAAGAGUUGGAAAUUGUUCUUUACCUUUCUGUAACACUUAUUUAUAGAAUUUGUGUUGGAUUGUACUAGCCUGUUCAUUUUCAUUAAAUGUUUGAUAGAAUUUACCAGGGAAGGCCGGGCGCGGUGGCUCACGCCUGUAAUCCCAGCACUUUGGGAGGCCGAGGCGGGCGGAUCACAAGGUCAGGAGAUCGAGACCACAGUGAAACCCCGUCUCUACUAAAAAUACAAAAAAUUAGCCGGGCGCGGUGGUGGGCGCCUGUAGUCCCAGCUACUCAGGAGGCUGAGGCAGGAGAAUGGCGUGAACCCGGGAGGCGGAGCUUGCAGUGAGCCGAGAUUGCGCCACUGCACUCCAGCCUGGGCGACAGCGCCAGACUCCGUCUCAAAAAAAAAAAAAAAAAAAAAAGUCAAAAAGAAUUUACCAGGGAAUUCAUCAAAGGAAUUCCAGGGAAAAAAUCUGGGCCUGGGAUUUCCUUGUGAGAAGAUUUUAAAUUAGUAAUCCGAAUGGAUAAAAAUUACUAACAAUAGCUGAUGUUAACACAUUCAGAUUUUAUGCUAUUUUGAGUCAGUUUUAGUAGUUUCCUGGCUAGGAAUUUGGUUCAUCUAACUUGUUUAAUUUAUUGACAUAAAGUUGUAAUAGUCCUUUUUAAUUCUUAUGAUUUCUGUUGGGCAUGUAGUGAUGUAUCCUCCUUCAUCUUGAUUAUUUUGGAAGUUUAUAUCUUCAUUCUCUUUUUCUUGUCAAUCUAGCUAAACAUUUAACAAUUUUGUUGACUUUUCAAAUAACCAAAUUUUUAUGUUUCAUUGAUUUUUCUAUUGUUUUUAUUUUCUGUUUUAUUGAUUUUGGCUCUGGUGCAAUCUCAGCUCACCGCAACCUCCGCCUCCAGGGCUCAAGUGAUUCUCCUACCUCAGCCACGUGAGGAGCUGGGACUACAGGCGUGCACCACCACACCCUGCCUCAGCCACGUGAGGAGGUGGGACUACAGGCAUGCACCACCACGCCCAGCUAAUUUUCGUAUUUUUAGUAGAGAUGGGGUUUUACCAUGUUGGCCAGGAUGGUCUCGAUUGCUUGACCUCAUGAUCCGCCUGCCUCGGCCUCCGAAACUGCUGGAAUUACAGGUGUGAGCCACUGUGCCCAGCUGCUCUGAUCUUUACUAGUUUUUCUUUCCAUUUAGUGUGGGUUCGAUUUGUUCUUCUUUUCCUGGGUUCCUGAAGUGGAAGCAUAGGCAAUUGAUUUGAGACCUUUUUUCUUUUAAAAUAUAGGUGUUUAGUGCUAUAAGCACUCCUCUAAGCAUUAUUUUAGCGCCAUUCCAUUUGUUUUGACAUGUUGUGUUUUAAUUUUCUUUCAGUUUCAAUAUUUUUCUAAUUUCCCUUGUGAUUUCUUCUUUAAUCUAUGGGUUAUUUAGAAGUGUGUUAUUUAAUUUCCAAACCUUUGGAUAUUUCCAAGAUUUCUCUAUGUUAUUGAUUUCUACCAUAUUGUGAUGGAAGAAGUAAGUUUACUGUAACAAUCCAAUUUAAAAUAAUGUAAAUAAAUUGAACUGGUGUUUCCUGAAGUUUUCUUUUUUAACUUUUAUUUUAGGUUUGGGGGUACAUGUGAAGGUUACAUAGGUAAGCACGUGUCAUGGUUGUUUGUUGUACACAUUAUUUCAUUACCCAGGUAUUAAGCCCAGUACCCAAUAGUUAUCUUUUCUGCUCCUCUCCCUCCUCCCACCCUCCCCCAUCAAAUAGACUCCUGCCUGUUGUUUCCUCCUUUGUGUUCAUAAGUUCUGAUCAUUUAGCUCCCAUCCUAAAGUUCAGUGUGCACAUAAACACCGAGGCAUCUUGUUAAAAUGCAGAUGUUGACUCAGCAAGUCUGGGAUGAGGCCCGAGAAUCUGCAUUUCUUUCUUUCUUUCUUUCUUUCAGACGGAGUUUCACUCUUUUUGUCCAGGCUGGAGUGCAAUGGCGCAAUCUCGGCUCAUCUAACAAGCUCUCAACUGCUGCUGGUCCUGGGACCAUACUGAGUAGCAAGAUUUAAAGAUGAUGAUAAUUUUCAAAAUACAUAGUAUUUAAUUUCUUAACUCCAUUUGUCUUGUGAUCAUUUCCAAUUUAUUCUUUUUAGUAAUUAUUACUACACAUAAGAGUGUCUAUUAUUGGCCGGGCGCGGUGGCUCACGCCUGUAAUCCCAGCACUUUGGGAGGCCAAGGCGGGCAGACCACCUGCGGUCGGGAGUUGAAGAUCAGCCUGACUAACAUGGAGAAACCCCGUCUCUACUAAAAAUGCAAAAAAAUUAGCCGGACAUGGUGGUGCAUUCCUGUAAUUCUAGCUACUUGGGAGGCUGAGGCAGGAGAAUUGCUUGAACCCAGGAGGUGGAGGUUGCGGUGAGUUAAGAUUAUGCCAUUGCACUCCAGCCUGGGCAACAAGAGCAAAACUCUGUCUUUAAAAAAAAAAAAAAAAAAAGAGUGUCUAUUAUUAUAGUGCAUUAUAGUUUUGAGAGAUAUUUUUUACGCUUUAUCCCACUCAUUUUUCACAACUGUUAAGUCAAGCAGGGAAGGCACGCAUUGGCCAGUUGCAGUGGUUCGUACCUGUAAUCCCAGCACUUUGGAAGGCCGAGGCGGGGGAAUCACAAGAUCAGGAGCUUGAGACCAGUCUGGCCAACAUGGUGAAACCCUGUCUCUACUAAAAAUACAAAAACCCUGCCAGGCGUGGUAGUGGGCACAUGUAAUCCUAGCUACUCCAGAGACUGAGGCAGGAGAAUUGCUUGAACCCGGGAGACGGAGGUUGCAGUGAGCGGAGAUCACCUACUGUACUCCAGCCUGGGCAACAGAGCAAGACUCUGUCUCUGAAGAAAAAAAAAAAAAGGCAUGCAUUUAUUUUAUUACCUUUCCAGGGCGAGGAAACUGAGCCUUGGAGAGGUUGAGAAUGGCUUGACGUAUUUCACAUUUCAUCAUUAGACCAUGCUCCUUCCUUUUAAUAAUAUUAUAUAUUUGUGAAGCUGACUUUCUGGUGUUUGCUGUGCCAAAAAAAUUAAAAAGUACCAUUGAAGGCCCGUGGUGGUGUAGGCAGUGAAGGCGUCAGUUCCAACCAGACUCCGGUUUUGAGAAGUUGUGGAGUGCCCAGUAAGCACAUUCAUAUUUAACUUAUUUAAGGAUGUUUAUUUUAGGAAGAAGUAAGUUUUUUAGGAAUUAUGUGUAUUUUUUCAAUGGCUACUAAAUACUUGUGUUGUAUGAACCUAAUAAUGGAAGUUUGGGGUAUUCUUGUUGGCCUAGGGGUGCUGUGAAAAAUUACUGAGAUGCUCAGGGCACAGUGAGCUGAGAAAGUUUGGGGAAUUCUACUAUAAAUAAAUAAUCCCACUAUAUGUAUGGAUCCAGAUAUAUGUCACAUGUACAUAUCUUUAUUUUUGUAUUUAAAUAUAAUAUAUUUAUUGUGUGUCUUUAGCCAGGUUUCACUUUGGAGUGCAUAAUUUUCUCUGUUUGCUCACAUGCAUUAUGAAUUAAUGAGUUGUUUUGGAAUUGAAGCAUGUUAGGGGAGGAAUACAUGUCUUUUCUAGGUUUUGCAAGUACUUGCUGUAGAGUCUCAUAUUUUUGCGGGUGUUGUCCUCAGGGAUGUGGUGCCUUUUACUAAUUACACUGAUGCGAAAACAGAAGAAAUUGCUAAAAGCCACAGGGGAGCGGGCAGCUGAACCAAGGAGCAUAUGAAAAGCAGGCUUCUCUACACUCUGCCACACCCUUUGGGAAACUUAUUAGGGGGGAAAAAUUCUCUAAGUCCUUUUUUUUCUUUUUCUUUUUUUUUUUGAGUCAGAGUCUUGCUCUGUUGCCCAGGCUGCUGGAAUGCAGUAGCGUGAUUUUGGCUCACUGCAACCUCCGCCUUCCGGGUUCAAGCAAUUCCCUUGCCUCAGUCCCCCAAGUAGCUGAGAUUACAGGUGUGCACCACCAUGCCUGGCUAAUUUUUUGGGUAUUUUUAGUAGAGACAGGGUUUCACCGUGUUGGCCAGGCUGGUCUUGAACUCCUGACCUUAUGAUUCGCCUGCCUUGGCCUUCCAAAGUGCUGGGAUUACAGGCGUGAGCCACCGUGCCCAGCCAAAAAUCCUCUAGGCCCUUGUAAAGUUUGCUUUAUGGCUUACUUUGGGGCAGGGAGAAGAUGAAACAAAAUUUGUCAUGAGAAUUUAAGAUGUCAACCUAACUAAUUUAUCAGGGCUUUCAGCUGUGACGGAAAAGAUAACAACCAGC